rnacentral:rRNA from 1 species
UAGCGUAUAUUAAAGUUGUUGCAGUUAAAACGCUCGUAGUCGGAUUUCGGGGCGGGUCUGCCGGUUUGCCGAUGGGUAUAUACUGGUGGGGGCGCCCUUCCUUCCGGAGACCGCGCCUCCUCUUAACUGAGCGGGCGGGGGAGACGGAUCGUUUACUUUGAAAAAAUCAGAGUGUUUCAAGCAGGCAUGUCGCUUUUGCAUGGAUUAGCAUGGGAUAAUGAAAUAGGACUUUGGUGCUAUUUUGUUGGUUUCGAACACCGAAGUAAUGAUUAACAGGGACAGUCAGGGGCACUCGUAUUCCGCAGAGAGAGGUGAAAUUCUCAGACCCGCGGAAGACGAACCACUGCGAAAGCAUUUG